rnacentral:tRNA from 1 species
GUCAAGGUGUCUGAUUUAAGUAAUAAAUUGUAAAUUUAUAUAAAGGUUUAAUAAACCUUCUUGACA